rnacentral:rRNA from 1 species
UAACCUGCCCAAGAGAUCGGGAUAACACCUGGAAACAGAUGCUAAUACCGGAUAACAACAGAUGAUGCCUAUCAACUGUUUAAAAGAUGGUUCUGCUAUCACUCUUGGAUGGACCUGCGGUGCAUUAGCUAGUUGGUAGGGUAACGGCCUACCAAGGCGAUGAUGCAUAGCCGAGUUGAGAGACUGAUCGGCCACAUUGGGACUGAGGCACGGCCCAAACUCCUACGGGAGGCAGCAGCC